UCCCGAAGAGAUUUGGGAGUGCUCGCAAGAGAACCGGAACACAGGUGCUGCAUGGCUGUCGUCAGCUCGUGUCUCGUGAGAUGUUGGGUUAAGUCCCGCAACGAGCGCAACCCUUGUCAUUAGUUGCUACGAAGGGCACUCUAAUGAGACUGCCAGUGAGCAAACCGGAGGAAGGUGGGGAUGACGUCAAGUCCUCAUGGCCCUUAUGGGUAGGGCUUCACACGUCAUACAAUGGUCGGGACAGAGGGGUCGCCAACCCGCGAGGGGGAGCCAAUCCCAGAAACCCGAUCGUAGUCGGAUCGCAGUCUGCAACUCGACUGCGUGAAGUCGGAAUCGCUAGUAAUCGCGGAUCAGCAUGUCGCGGUGAAUACGUUCAGGUCUUGUACACACCGCCCGUCACACCAUGGGAGUGGGUUUUACCAGAAGUAGUUAGCCUAACCGUAAGGAGGGCGAUUACCACGGUAGGAUUCCAUGACUGGGGUGAAGUCGUAACAAGGUAG
rnacentral:misc_RNA from 1 species